rnacentral:rRNA from 1 species
GAGAGUUUGUUCACACAUCCAAAUGGAAGGAUGAAGCCCAGCUAACACAGUGGAGUAGAGGCGAGCGGUUGACUAACAUGGGAGUAACCUGCCCUAAACUUGGGGAUAAGCCUGGGAAAUUGGGUUUAAUACCGGAUAGGAGCGUCCAUACCAUGGUGGGUGUUGGAAAGAUUUAUCGGUUUUGGAUGGACUCGCGGCCUAUCAGCUUGUUGGGGAGGUAAUGGCUCACCAAGGCGAGGACGGGUACCCGGCCUGGUAGGGUGGCCGGCCACACCACGAUUGAGACACGGCCCAGACUCGUAUCGGAGGCAGCAGUGCGGAAUAUUACACAAUGCGAGGAAGCAAGACGCAAUGACGCAGCGUGAGGGAAGAGGGCCUUGCGGUUGUAAACCUAUUUUAGUAGGGAAGAAGUGAAAGUGACGGUACCUGCAGAAGAAGCUCCGGCUAACUCCGUGCCAGCAGCCGCGGUAAUACGGAGGGUGCGAGCGUUAUUCGGAAUUAUUGGGCGUAAAGAGCUCGUAGGCGGUUUGUUGAGUCAGUGGUGAAAGUCCGGGGCUUAACCCCGGAUCUGCCGUGGGUACGGGCAGACUAGAGUGCAGUAGGGGAGAGUGGAAUUCCGGGUGUAGCGGUGGAAUUCGCAGAUAUCAGGAGGAACACCGAUGGCGAAGGCUGGCAUCGUGCU